GGAAAGUGGAGGUGCUGCACUGGAUCCAGCACAGCAGGUCUCCCUUAAAAUCCUGGAAAGUCAUGGAAAAUUCUUGGAUCCGCGUGGACGUUCGGAGGAUUGUCCGGAGGCCGAGAGGACCGGUGUUUUCCCGCCUCCGAGGAAACAGCUGAUCCAGUCCAACAAGCUCAGCAGACAGAGUGAGUGCUGCUCUCGUUCAGGUCAGAACAGACGUGAGACAGAGGAGACGUGAGACAGGAGACGUGAGACAGAGGAGACGUGAGACAGAGGAGACGUGAGACAGGUCCCAGCCCUCCGUUAUCACUCUAACCUACAAAUGAGGUCAGAACCUGCGGUUCCUGUGAUGUCCAAACGCAGAGUCGUCCCUCAGAGCGCCGCAUUCAAACGUCACGGAGAGAUCAGCGUCUCUACAGCCGGUAGAACAAAGAAAAAGAAAAGAAACCGUUUGGUAAUCGUGGUAAAUAAGUUCAGUACUGAACCGAAUAAUCAGGACUGUCUACACUUCUGCUGACUCCAGGAUCUGCUCCUCCGACGUUCGGCUGACGGAGUCACGGAAACACGAUCGCACGUCAGCAUAGAGCGUUUUAUUCUGAAAAUUAACCGGAUCUUUCAACGUGGCUGUCUGACUUCCUGUCUGCUCUCUGCUUAUUUUAGCUGAACGACGCGAAGUGAUCCGACCGGGACAGGAGACACUCCUCAGUGUUACGUCUCUCUCCUCCGACUCCCUCACAAACACACACAGUCUCACACAUACACACUCACACACACACACAUACACACACACAGUCUCA